AUGGAGGGUCCGGGCCCGGGGGCCGCGUUGUCCACCAGCCGCCGCAGCAUGGGCAGCGGCAGGAGCUGGGGCAGCUCAAUCUCUCAAUCCUUCCGCCAUCAGGGCCUCCAGCCCGACACGAACGACCCCUUCAGGCGGCGGCACGAGGACGGCGGCGACGACGAGGAGAACCUGCGGUGGGCGGCGCUGGAGAAGCUGCCCACCUACGACCGCAUGCGCCGCGCCAUCGUCCUCCACGAGUACGCCGGCGACAAAGCUACGGGGGAGCUGGUGGAGAUCGAGCACCUCGCCAGCGGGGAGGGCGGGCGGGCGCUGCUGGAGAAGGUGUUCCAGGACGACAGCGAGCGGUUCCUGAGGAGCCUGAGGGACCGGGUGGACAGGGUCGGCAUCGAGCUCCCGGCCAUUGAAGUACGGUACCAGGAUGUGUCCAUUGAGGUGGACGCCUUGGUCGGGAGCCGAGCUCUGCCCACGCUCUGGAACUUCACCACCAGCUUCCUCCAGGGUCUUACUGGACGACUUGGAUCCUCCAACAAAAAAACCAUCAACAUACUUCGCAACGUCAAUGGCAUCCUCAAACCAUCAAGGAUGACUCUUCUUCUUGGGCCUCCUUCUUCAGGAAAGAGCACACUUAUGCGAGCCCUUACCGGCAAGCUUGACAAAAGACUCAAGGUAUCUGGCAACAUCACAUAUUGUGGCCAUACAUUUUCCGAGUUCUACCCCGAGAGGACCAGCGCAUAUGUUAGUCAGUACGAUCUCCAUAAUGCAGAGAUGACAGUAAGAGAGACAUUGGAUUUCUCUAGGCGCUGCUUGGGUGUCGGUGCGAGAUAUGACAUGCUUACAGAGCUGUCUAGAAGGGAGCGUGAUGCUGGCAUAAAGCCGGAUCCUGAGCUUGACGCUUACAUGAAAGCUAGCGCGGUACAAGGACAAGAGAAUAAUAUUAUAACAGAUCUUACCCUAAAGGUUCUUGGGCUUGACAUUUGUGCUGAUACCAUGAUCGGUGAUGAGAUGAUCAGAGGAAUUUCUGGUGGCCAAAAGAAGCGUGUCACAACAGGGGAAAUGUUAACCGGACCCGCAAGGGCUUUGUUUAUGGAUGAAAUUUCCACUGGUUUGGAUAGCUCUAGCACAUUUCAGAUUGUAAAAUAUGUGAAGCAAUUGGUCCAUGUGAUGAAUGAGACUGUGAUGAUCUCCCUCCUACAACCACCUCCUGAGACAUAUAACCUGUUUGAUGACAUAAUUCUGCUAUCAGAAGGCUACAUAGUGUACCACGGGCCACGUGAGAACAUCUUGGAGUUCUUUGAAUCUUCUGGUUUCCGUUGCCCUCAGAGGAAAGGAGUUGCUGACUUCCUUCAAGAGGUUACUUCCAAGAAAGACCAGAAACAGUAUUGGUACCUUGAACAUGAAAAAUAUAUUUUUGUGUCAGUCCGAGAGUUUGCUGAACGUUUCAAGUCAUUUCAUGUAGGCCAGUUGAUGCUCAAGGAGCUACAAAUCCCUUUCGAAAAAUCCAAAACCCAUCCUGCUGCGUUGACCACCAAGAAGUAUGGCCUAUCUAGAAAGGAGUCACUCAAGGCAGUGAUCUCGAGAGAGGUGUUGUUGAUGAAGCGAAACGCAUUUAUCUACAUCUUCAAGGUCUCCCAGUUGAUCAUCCUCGGGAUCAUGGCCAUGACUGUCUUCCUCAGAACAAAUAUGCCUAGUGGUCAGAUUUCUGACAGUAUCAAAUUCUCUGGAGCUCUGACUUUCAGUUUAAUCACCAUCUUGUUCAAUGGGUUAGCUGAGCUACAACAGACCAUAAAGAUGCUUCCUACGUUCUACAAACAAAGGGAUUUCUUGUUCUUCCCUCCGUGGACCUUUGCAUUGGCAAACAUACUCUUAAAAAUUCCUAUUUCCCUAAUGGAGGCUGGGGUAUGGGUCAUACUCACGUACUAUGUGAUGGGCUUUGCACCUGCUGCAGGAAGGUUCUUUCGUCAAUUUUUAGCUUUGUUCGCUACUCACCAAAUGGCAAUGGCUUUGUUCCGAUUUCUUGCUGCUAUUUUUAAAUCAAUGGUUAUGGCCAACAAUUUUGGGAUGUUUGUGAUCCUUCUUAUUUUCAUAUUUGGAGGAUUUCUCAUCCCUAGAGGUGACAUCAGACCAUGGUGGAUCUGGGCUUAUUGGUCAUCUCCGAUGAUGUACAGUCAGAAUGCAUUAUCUGUCAAUGAAUUCCUUGCAAGUAGGUGGGCAACUCCAAACAAUGACAUUUCUAUUCAUGAACCAACGGUAGGAAAGGCAAUUCUUAAAUCGAAGGGACUCUUUACUGGUGACUCAGGCUUUUGGCUUUCAAUAGGAGCUGUGAUAGGAUUUGCUAUUUUGUUCAACAUCUUGUACAUUUUGUCCCUUGCGUACUUGAGCCCUAGCGGCAACUCAAACACACUAGAUCUGGAUGAAGAGAAUGAUAAUGAGACAAGUAGAGAUCAAAUGUCGGAAGCCAAUGCAUCAUAUACUGUGACAUCUUCAAUACCUAUGGUCACCACAAUUUCUGUAGGUACUAACGGAGACACAAAUACGCCAACUCAUUCAGGAAUUGCCUUGCCUUUUCAUCCUCUUUCACUUUCUUUCAACCAUAUAAACUAUUGCGUGGACAUGCCUGCGGAAAUGAAGGAGCAAGGUUUCGCAGAAAAUCGUCUCCAGCUUCUCACUGAUAUUAGUGGUGCUUUCAGGCCAGCUGUUCUGACAGCACUAGUUGGCAUGAGUGGAGCUGGAAAAACCACUCUAAUGGAUGUUCUAGCUGGAAGGAAAACUAGUGGAUCUAUUGAAGGAAGUAUCACCCUGUCUGGUUACCCCAAAAACCAAGAAACAUUUGCCCGCAUUAGUGGCUAUUGCGAACAGACUGACAUCCAUUCACCCAAUGUUACUGUAUAUGAAUCCAUUCUCUACUCUGCUUGGCUACGUCUUUCAUCAGAUGUUGACGAAAAAACAAGAAAGAUGUUUGUGGAGGAAGUCAUGACCCUUGUAGAGCUCGAUGUGUUGCGUAAUACUAUGGUUGGUCUCCCUGGAUUUGACGGGUUAUCGACUGAACAAAGAAAGAGAUUGACAAUUGCAGUGGAGCUAGUAUCAAAUCCUUCAAUCAUAUUCAUGGAUGAGCCAACUUCUGGGCUUGAUGCUAGAGCAGCCGCAAUUGUCAUGCGGGUGGUGAGAAAUACAGUCAACACUGGGCGUACCGUGGUUUGCACAAUCCAUCAACCCAGCAUCGAUAUAUUCGAGUCUUUCGAUGACCUUCUACUGUUGAAAAGAGGAGGGCAGGUUAUUUAUGCUGGCGAACUUGGUCGCCACUCUCAUAAACUAGUUGAAUAUUUUGAGGCAAUUCCAGGUGUCGCAAAGAUCACAGAAGGUUAUAAUCCAGCGACAUGGAUGCUGGAAGUUAGCUCCCCUCUUGCUGAGGCUCGCUUGGGAAUAAAUUUUGCUGAAAUUUAUGCUAAUUCUCCUCUUUAUAUGGAAAACCAAGAACUUAUUAAGGAAUUGAGUGUUCCCCUGCCAGGCUAUGAGGAUCUUUCAUUUCCUACAAAGUAUUCUCAGAAUUUCUACAACCAGUGUAUUGCAAACUUCUGGAAGCAAUACAAAUCUUAUUGGAAGAAUCCACCCUACAAUGUCAUGCGCUAUCUUAUGACGGUGCUCAAUGGUCUUGUAUUUGGCACUGUAUUUUGGAAAAAAGGAACAAAACUAGAAUCACAACAAGAUUUGUUCAAUCUACUUGGAGCCACUUAUGCUGCUGUCUUCUUCCUUGGGGCUUCUAAUUGUAUCACAGUUCAACCCGUUGUGGCAAUAGAGCGAACAGUUUUCUACCGAGAAAGGGCGGCGGGGAUGUACUCUCCAUUAUCCUAUGCAUUAGCUCAGACAGGCGUGGAGAUCAUCUACAACAUCCUGCAGGGGUGUCUAUACACAAUCAUCAUCUAUUCGAUGAUUGGAUAUGAGUGGAAAGCUGACAAGUUCUUUUAUUUCCUAUUCUUCAUAAUUGCAAGUUUCAACUACUUCUCGUUGUUUGGCAUGAUGUUGGUGGCAUUGACCCCAUCUGCGCUGCUUGCAAACAUAAUCAUAUCCUUUGUACUCCCUCUUUGGAACUUGUUUGCUGGGUUCCUCAUCGUCAGACCGGCCAUUCCAAUUUGGUGGAGGUGGUACUAUUGGGCCAACCCAGUAUCCUGGACCAUCUAUGGCGUUGUUGCAUCACAGUUUGGCGAGAACAAUAAUUCUCUUUCGAUCCCCGGAGGGAGCCCCAUAGUUGUGAAGAAAUUCUUAGAGGAUAAUUUGGGAAUCAAUCAUGAUUUCCUUGGCUAUGUUGUGCUAGCCCACUUCUCCUACGCCAUUGGGUUCUACUUCGUCUUUGCCUACUCUAUCAAAGUCUUGAACUUCCAGAAACGUUAG
rnacentral:rRNA from 1 species